rnacentral:rRNA from 1 species
AACUUUCAACAACGGAUCUCUUGGUUCUGGCAUCGAUGAAGAACGCAGCGAAAUGCGAUAAGUAAUGUGAAUUGCAGAAUUCAGUGAAUCAUCGAAUCUUUGAACGCACAUUGCGCCCUGUGGUAUUCCGCAGGGCAUGCCUGUUCGAGCGUCAUC